rnacentral:rRNA from 1 species
CUGGCACCUUCGGUGUCCGAGUUGUAAUCUCUAGAAAUGUUUUCCGCGUUGGACCGCACACAAGUCUGUUGGAAUACAGCGGCAUAGUGGUGAGACCCCCGUAUAUGGUGCGGACGCCCAGCGCUUUGUGAUACAUUUUCGAAGAGUCGAGUUGUUUGGGAAUGCAGCUCAAAUUGGGUGGUAAAUUCCAUCUAAAGCUAAAUAUUGGCGAGAGACCGAUAGCGAACAAGUACCGUGAGGGAAAGAUGAAAAGCACUUUGGAAAGAGAGUUAACAGUACGUGAAAUUGUUGGAAGGGAAACGCUUGAAGUCAGACUUGCUUGCCGAGCAAUCGGUUUGCAGGCCA